rnacentral:misc_RNA from 1 species
UACGGAGGGUGCGAGCGUUGUCCGGAAUCACUGGGCGUAAAGGGCGCGUAGGUGGCUUGGCAAGCGUGUGGUGAAAGCCCGGGGCUUAACCCCGGGUCUGCCGUGCGAACUACCAUGGCUAGAGUACUGUAGAGGCAGGUUGAAUUCCGGGUGUAGCGGUGGAAUGCGUAGAGAUCCGGAAGAAUACCGGUGGCGAAGGCGGCCUGCUGGGCAGUUACUGACACUGAGGCGCGACAGCGUGGGGAGCAAACAGG